rnacentral:rRNA from 2 species
UCUAGUCUGUAACUGACGCUGAGGCUCGAAAGCGUGGGGAGCAAACAGGAUUAGAUCCCGUGGUAGUCCACGCUGUAAACGAUGAGUGCUAAGUGUUAGAGGGUUUCCGCCUUUCAGUGCUGAAGUUAACGCAUAACGCACUCCGCCUGGGGAGUACGCCCGCAAGGUUGAAACUCAAGGGAAUUGACGGGGGCCCGCACAAGCGGUGGAGCAUGUGGUUUAUUUGGAAGAUACGGGAAGACCUUUCCCGGGUCUUGACAUCUUCUGCCAAUCUUAGAGUUAGGUUUUUCCUUUGGGAGACAGAAUGACAGGUGGUGCAGGGUUGUUGUCAGCUCGUGUCGUGAGAUGUUGGGUUAAGUCCCGCAACGAGCGCACCCUUUAUUCUCAGUUCCCACCAUUAAGUUGGCCAUUUUAGGGAGACUCCGGGUGACAACCGGGGGGAAGGGGGGGAGGACGUCAAAUCAUCAUCCCCUUUAUGCCUUGGGCUACACACGUGUUACAAGGGAGGGUACAAGGAGUUGCAAAGUCGAGGGCAUAAGAAAAUCUUUAAAACCCUUUCUCAUUUGGGAUUGUGGGGCAAAACUCGCCCACAU